rnacentral:lncRNA from 1 species
GUUCUUCCGCCAGCGCCCAUCGUGAAGACCACAGUUUCCUGUCGCGUGGAUGUGUUUCCUCUCUGGCCAUUGCCAUCCGCCCAAAUCUACAGACAUCCCGCAUGUUCCCGGGCUCGUCUCCCCAAUACAGGGCACCAAGGCUGUAGACUGCGCAGCCCUCCUGGAGACAGAUGGAAGCUCCUUGGGUCGACAGAUUACAGCUUCUGGAACCCCCUACUCCCUUCAACUCCGAGAUGGACACCCACUGUCCAGGGAGAGGAUGCCUGGAAAUAACAGCUGGGAUCUACAGUGGCCAAAGAGUUGUCUCCGUCUUGCUACAUCGACAAACUGCCACUUCGGAAGCGUUUUCCUCUCCACUCUGACAACAGGCAAGAGUGAGGGUCCAACAAUACAGAGGAAGUAACGUGUCGCUGCUACUCUUCCAUGCCCAGUGCCAGGAGCGACGGUACACUCCAGAGUGCUGUGCCCUGAUGGGCCUUUGAGUGGCCAGUGCAGUGGAUCAUCAGCCCUGUCUCCCAAGAGCUCCAGUCCCUUCUCCGGAGAGGAAGUGGGUCCACUGGCAGCUCAGGAGGCCAUAGCAGGAUUGUCACGUGUGCUCAACAGUCCUCCUCGGCUUUCCAGAAGAGGCUGGAACAGGGCCCUUGAAGAUGUUUGUGGACAUCAGAGGGCCAAAGACGACACAAAGUGAAACUGGAGACACCGCCCCCCCUUGGCAUCAUGAAACUGCCGAUGUUACUGGCUCAUGCAUGGGAGACACCAGCAUACAAAGUCUUGACACCAACACCUCAGAGGGCUGUGUUCUGUCCCCGUGACCAUCAUCUAGUGCCUGGAAAGACUAGUGACAAGAACUUGUUGCCAACUUCCUAUUACCUCCCUAACAGUUGUGCAAUAAACCCCAUAGGUUAAUUCA